UACGAAGGGUGCAAGCGUUACUCGGAAUUACUGGGCGUAAAGCGUGCGUAGGCGGUUUGUUAAGUCUGUUGUGAAAGCCCCGGGCUCAACCUGGGAAUGGCAAUGGAAACUGGCGAGCUAGAGUACGGUAGAGGAGAGUGGAAUUCUCGGUGUAGAGGUGAAAUUCGUAGAUAUCGAGAGGAACACCGGUGGCGAAGGCGGCCAACUGGACGAAGACUGACGCUGAGACACGAAAGCGUGGGGAGCAAACAGG
rnacentral:rRNA from 1 species